AUGGGCGGAAGCCUGAUGCAGCAACGCCGCGUGCGGGAUGACGGCCUUCGGGUUGUAAACCGCUUUCACCCAUGACGAAGCGCGAGUGACGGUAGUGGGGGAAGAAGCACCGGCCAACUACGUGCCAGCAGCCGCGGUGAUACGUAGGGUGCGAGCGUUGUCCGGAAUUAUUGGGCGUAAAGAGCUUGUAGGCGGUUGAUCGCGUCGAUAGUGAAAUCCCGGGGCUCAACCUCGGGCUUGCUGUCGAUACGGGUUGACUUGAGGAAGGUAGGGGAGAAUGGAACUCCCGGUGGAGCGGUGGAAUGCGCAGAUAUCGGGAAGAACACCGGUGGCGAAGGCGGUUCUCUGGACCUUUCCUGACGCUGAGAAGCGAAAGCGUGGGGAGCAAACAGGCUUAGAUACCCUGGUAGUCCACGCUGUAAACGGUGGGUACUAGGUGUGGGUCGCAUUCCACGUGAUCCGUGCCGUAGCCAACGCAUUAAGUACCCCGCCUGGGGAGUACGGCCGCAAGGCUAAAACUCAAAGGAAUUGACGGGGCCCCGCACAAGCGGCGGAGCAUGCGGAUUAAUUCGAUGCAACGCGAAGAACCUUACCUGGGGUUUGACAUGUACUGGAAGCGCUCAGAGAUGGG
rnacentral:rRNA from 1 species